UAAACUCUGUGGCCCUGGGAAGAGAGAUAUACACAUAUAUUCUCUCCUUUACACUGCCUCCGGGUGCAGUAACAAAUAAAAUAUUUGCAGAGGCUCAGAAAAAGAUUCAAACUGCUGUCCGGUGCAACUUCUUUCUAUCGCCUGCUACGUCUAUCCUUCUUAAGUCCUAAUCUUUGCUGGAGCUGGGCCCCGACACAAGUGGAGCCUGAACAGGAGACUUGAAGUAGGAAUGCAGAAUCGCCCAUUGGGAUCCCAGAUCGCCUCGUCAGGCCAUGUGGACAGGUCCCCGAGACGGUCAUAUCAUGUCCUGCACCCAUAUUGGAAAAACGAAACGACAAGAGAAUAUGAGCGAUUCUCCCACUCAGAAUCGACUUCCGUUCUGCCAUCAUCAAAAACGCCUGAUUCUACAGAUAUGGUUGAAAAUAUUUUGCCUGUUUUUGCUCGGCUUCGUCUUCACUCAAAGCGACGUGAGCAAGGCCGCUUUGCAAGAUCUACUCGUCAAGAGUUUUUGCCAACAUGGGGUCAGAUUAAACAGCUUAGUUGUUUGGCUGAACAAAUUCUUGAAGAAAAUAAUUUUCAAAAAAAUCCAGCUAAUCUUUUCCUGGCUAUGAUCUCUUUGCUUACUAUACGGUCAUCUAAUGACAACUAGCACAAGGCAUCAGAACACUGUCAAUGGAAUUUCAAGUGGAUCGACUGAAAAUAAGAAAGAGGGAGAUGGUGGCGCCACUCUCCACUAAGGAGGCUGUAGGACUGUUGUGUGGCUAAGGAGACCGCGUGACAAAGUUCCAGGUCUCAUAACUCAGCUAACGAGGCUGUAGGACUGUUGUGUGGCUGAAGAAACUGAAUGACAAAGUUCCAGUUUCUGGCUGGGUGGACACAGCCCCACUUCCUCCUUUAGUUUUAUUAUUUAAAAAAAAAUAAAAUCAUUUGUAUAGUGCUUUUUGGAUUCACUGACUUGUUCCCCUUUGCCCUCAAAAUAUUGAUGAUCUGAGAUGGUCUGAGAAAAGAAAUAAGACGAAUAAAUUUAUGGAAAAAAGUAAUAUAAAACCUAAACAUUGGAAAAUAUUAAUAUUGAUGAAAUGGCUGCUCUGACUAGAUCCCAGAGAUGGAGAUGAAGACCAAGAUUGGGAAAGUACAAAAAAAACCCACAAAUGAGUUCGGGGACAUUUCCUGCUUAUUUUGUAGUGAAGAUAUUAAUGCUUUCAUAGAUAUAAAAUGCAAAUUUGAAAACUAAGAAUCAAGAAAAAGGACAUGAUUUUACAUUAUGAAUUAAUCAUUAGAAGAUUAUAAAAAUAAGAAAGAGGAAUGUUGCAGAAAUUUUAUAGAUACAUAAAUUAGGAUAUAUAAAGAGUUAAAAUAGAUUAUAAUAUAAUUUAAUAAGAAUUUUUGUUUUGCUUACUAUAAGUUAAAAAUUAGACUUUUAGAUUCUAAUUGUCUGGCAACGGUGACCAUGACUCCCCCCUCCCAGUUAAACUUUGUCUACUUGCUCCAGGAACUGUAAUCAUUGAAUUUUAUGAUUAUGACUUUCUAAGAAUAUUUUGAUUCAUGUUGGGGAAAUAGUCCCAUAUUAGGUAUCUUUUGAAAUGCAAAUAUAGACUGAUGUAAUCAUUGUUGUAAGAUAUAAAAAUAAACUCUGUGGCCCUGGGAAGAGAGAGAUACACAUGUAUUCUCCCCAUACACUGCCUCCC